GUGAGGAAUUUUGCGCAAUAGGGGAAACCCUGACGCAGCAACGCCGCGUGAGUGAAGAAGGCCCUCGGGUCGUAAAGCUCUGUCAAGUGGGAAAAAAGCUUACUGGUAAAUAGCCAGCAAGACUGAUGGUACCAUUGAAGGAAGCACCGGCUAACUCCGUGCCAGCAGCCGCGGUAAUACGGAGGGUGCAAGCGUUGUUCGGAAUUACUGGGCGUAAAGGGCGUGUAGGCGGUGUGGUAAGUCAGAUGUGAAAGCCCUGGGCUUAACCCAGGAAGUGCAUUUGAAACUGCCAUGCUUGAGUAUGGGAGAGGAGAGUGGAAUUCCCAGUGUAGAGGUGAAAUUCGUAGAUAUUGGGAGGAACACCCGUGGCGAAGGCGACUCUCUGGACCAAUACUGACGCUGAGGCGCGAAAGCGUGGGGAGCAAACAGGAUUAGAAACCCCAGUAGUCC
rnacentral:rRNA from 1 species